UGCAUUCACUACUGUAAGUCGCUCUGGAUAAGAGCUUCUGCUAAAUGAUUAAAA
rfam:Salmo salar isolate Sally breed double haploid chromosome ssa28, whole genome shotgun sequence.